rnacentral:tRNA from 1 species
GUGCCCAUAGUUCAAUGGAUAGAAUAGAAGUUUCCUAAACUUUAGAUGGAGGUUCGAAUCCUUCUGGGCGCGCCA